UGCGGUUAUACAAAAAUUAAAUUAAAUUUUUUUAGGUAUUAAUAAAUAAAUUUAUAGAAAAUAACUUAAAUUUAAAAUUAUAAAGUGAAAUUUUAAUUUAAAUAAAAUUUAUUUAUUUUUGUGAUAUUAAUAAAUUUUAUAAAAAACUAGGAUUAGAUACCCUAUUAUAAAAAUUUAAAUUUAAUAAUCUUAAAAUAGUAUAUAAUUUUUUAUAGAAACUUAAAUAAUUUGGCGGUAUUUUAGUUCAUUUAGAGGAAUCUGUCUAAUAAUUGAUAAUCCACGAUAAAAUUUACUUAAUUUUUAAUUUUGUAUAUCGUUGUUAAAAAAAUAUUUUUAAAUGAUUAUAAUAUUUUAAAAUUUGAAUAAAAAUUUAAAUCAGAUCAAGAUGCAGAUUAUAAUUAAGAAUAUGAUGGAUUACAAUAAAUUUUAUUUUAUUUGAAUAUUAAUUUGAAAUAAAUUAAUUGAAAUUGGAUUUAAAUGUAAUUUUAUUAAUUUUGUUAAAAUGAUUAAAAAUUAAAAUAUGUACAUAUUGCCCGUCGCUUUCAUUUAUAAAUUGAAAUAAGUCGUAACAAAGUAGAGGUACUGGAAAGUGUUUCUAGAAAGAU
rnacentral:rRNA from 1 species